UACGGAGGGUGCAAGCGUUAUCCGGAUUUACUGGGUUUAAAGGGUGUGUAGGCGGAUAUUUAAGUCAGAGGUGAAAUCUCCGAGCUCAACUUGGAAACUGCCUUUGAUACUAUUUAUCUUGAAUUUCGUUGAGGUUGGCGGAAUAUAUCAUGUAGCGGUGAAAUGCAUAGAUAUGAUAUAGAACACCGAUUGCGAAGGCAGCUGGCUGAACGAACAUUGACGCUGAGGCACGAAAGCGUGGGUAGCGAACAGG
rnacentral:rRNA from 1 species